rnacentral:rRNA from 1 species
UAGGGAAUCUUCCACAAUGGGCGAAAGCCCGAUGGAGCAACGCCGCGUGUGUGACGAAGGGUUUCGGCUCGUAAAACACUGUUGUAAGAGAAGAAUGACAUUGAGAGUAACUGUUCAAUGUGUGACGGUAUCUUACCAGAAAGGAACGGCUAAAUACGUGCAAG